UACCAGCUCUCCGAGUGGUAGGGAUGAUUAUUGGGCUUAAAGCGUCCGUAGCCGGCUUAGCAAGUCUCCUGUUAAACUCAGCGACCUAAUCGUUGAAUCGCGGGAGAUACUACUAGGCUAGGAGGCGGGGGAGGUCGACGGUACUUCUGGGGUAGGGGUGAAAUCCUAUAAUCCCGGGAGGACCACCAGUGGCGAAGGCUGUCGACUAGAACGCGCUCGACGGUGAGGGACGAAAGCUGGGGUAGCGAACCGGAUUAGAUACCCGGGUAGUCCCAGCUGUAAACGAUGCGGGCUAGGUGUUGGGAUGGCUACGGGCCAUUUCAGUGCCGCAGGGAAGCCAUUAAGCCCGCCGCCUGGGGAGUACGGCCGCAAGGCUGAAACUUAAGGAAUUGGCGGGGGAGCACCACAAGGCGUGAAGCUUGCGGUUC
rnacentral:rRNA from 1 species